rnacentral:rRNA from 1 species
GACGAACGCUGGCGGCGUGCUUAACACAUGCAAGUCGAACGGAAAGGCCCUGCUUUUGUGGGGUGCUCGAGUGGCGAACGGGUGAGUAACACGUGAGUAACCUGCCCUUGACUUUGGGAUAACUUCAGGAAACUGGGGCUAAUACCGUAUAGGAGCUCCUGCUGCAUGGUGGGGGUUGGAAAGUUUCGGCUGUUGGGGUUGGACUCGCGGCUUAUCAGCUUGUUGGUUGGGUAGUGGCUUACCAAGGCUUUGACGGGUAGCCGGCCUGAGAGGGUGACCGGCCACAUUGGGACUGCGAGACGGACCAGACUCCUACAGGAGGCAGCAGUGGGGAAUAUUGCACAAUGGGCGGAAGCCUGAUGCAGCAACGCCGCGUGCGGGAUGACGGCCUUCGGGUUGUAAACCGCUUUCGCCUGUGACGAAGCGUGAGUGACGGUAAUGGGUAAAGAAGCACCGGCUAACUACGUG